AAUAAAAACACUCAGUGAGCAGGCGACACAAAUCAAUGAGACAUUAAAGUCCUCCAUCUACACCCAGUUCAUUAAGCCAUUCUUGUCUAGAAAAUUUCCAGGUGCGUUUUUAUUUAUUUUAUUGAUGCAUUAAAAAGUACUUACAAUUAUGCCUGUGAUUAAAUUAAUGAAAGCUUGAUCAUAAUAAAGCAAAAAUAAGCUAUUAUGCUCAUUGUAUCCCUGUUUAAGACAAUAUUCUUCACAUUUCCUCAAUAUUCUAUGUUAAAUCCAGAUGCUGCCUGUAAUUCUAACAAUAUGAGCAGCGCAGACUGGCUCAAUAGGAAUUUUGCUGAGUUCUUCAAGUAUGCUACCUUGAAGGACCUUCAAACUCUAAACAGAGACUUUUACAAUGUAAGUAGACAUUCAUACUUUCCAUUCACAGCAUUUAUUUCUUUAAUGUCAGAAUUGUUGAUAAAACUGCUGUUUAUAAUAUGAUUCAGUUUUUUUCAUCAUUACGACUGCUGAGCCCUACCCAAGUAGCUGAACUCACCCUGAGCUCUGGAGCGCUCAACAACACGGACCAGAUCGGUGCUAUGUUCCUCCGACUAGAGGAAGGCAACGCUUUUGUGAACGUGGAGGAGUUUCUGACAAAACUCAGUGCAGCUCCAGAGGUUCCGGACAUCAGCCCUGCUGUGAGCGACGUGAUGAUGAACCGCACCUUCACAAUCAUUGGAACCAAAUUCCACAAGUUUGAGACUCGGGAUUGGCUGGUGUGGUUCACCGUGAAUCUCAUUCCUAUCCUUCCCAGUUUCACCUCAGAGAUGCUGGUUAAGGUCACAGUUACAGUCAACUGCACCAACUACCGCGUGAUCGUUGAGGGACUUGGAAUGGUUUUCCAGAAAAUGACAUUGAGCAGGAGCCAUGAGAUAACCAGCAUUCUGGUGGAGCACCUGAAGGCUGCUUCUUCCCAAUUCAGUAUGCCAGGUUGCAGACAGAAAACUGAAAGCGUUACCCAAUGGCUCGACAGCAACUUGGGCCCAUUCUCCUCAUUGGCCAGUUACUCGGACCUCAAGGCCCUGAACAUCAGUGUGUUGGCAGCUCUGGGAUCCCUGUCACCUGAUCAGAAAGCAGAGCUGCUGUUGGAUCGGACCACCGGUGCUCUAGAAAACGUGACCGUGGUACAGGAGGUGAUGAUCAGCAUCCUGAACUCUUCAGAUGGGAAUCAGCUUGAGAUGUUCUUUGAAAAAUUUGUUGUAGUCUGCCACGAGGAAAAUAUUACCUUCAUUGCAAACGUGGCUGUACGAGACACAAUGCUGAAUCUGACCAUGACUGCCCUGGCUCCCAAACUUCCCCUAUUUGAAACAAGCGACUAUGAGCUGUGGUUCCAAACCAAUCUGGUGGUCCUGCUGGCCAGCUUCAGUCCUUCAGUGCUGGAGGUCAUCCCUGCCAACAUCACAUGCGAAUCUUACCAAGCAAUACUGGAAGGCAUGAAGAUAGCUUUGGCAGAUCUUCCGUCAGGAGUUGGAGUAGAGCUAAAUUCAAGUGUAGACACACUUCAACAUUCACCACCAAAAGGUAUGGCAUCAGUAAAGCUGCUGGAAUGCUUAGGCAGUGCCUGGGCGGUGAGAAAAGCCAACAAAUUGUGACCACAUGUAUUUGAAUAUGUCAGCGUCAUGAGAGUUGCCUCCCAUCGACCAAUAUCUCUUGUCUUGGCUUCUCUCUUUAGCCUGCACGACUCCACCACCCACCACACCCCCCACAGUGCCCCCCACCAUGCCAUCCACCACACCGUCCCCAGUACCACCCACUGCACCACCGACCGUGUCCCCCACCGCUGUUGUAAGUACUUCAUCUGGUGGCAUUAUGCCCAAGAUAAGCUCUUCCUAAUUCUUUUCUCUAAUUUUUGCUUUGUCUCACCUCUCACCAGUGCGAGGAAACAUUGAUCGAUGGUGAGUCGGAACAA
ensembl:lincRNA